GUCUUUUUGUAAAUAAAAAAAGUCAAGCCUGCCCACUGAUAAUUUUUUAAGGGCCGCGGUAUUUUGACCGUGCGAAGGUAGCGUAAUCAUUAGUUUUUUAAUUGGAAUCUUGUAUGAAUGGUUAGACAAAAGAAAAUCUGUCUCUUUAUUAGAAAUUUAAUUUAACUUUUAAGUGAAAAGGCUUAAAUUAAUUAAAGGGACGAUAAGACCCUAUAAAGCUUAAUAUAAAUGCCUGUUUAAUUAAAUUAAAUAAUAAAAAUUUUAUAGUAUAAGUUAUUUUAUUGGGGCGAUAAAGGUAAAAUGUUUUGUAACUGCUUAAUUAAUAAAACAUGUUAGUUGAGAUAAAAUUUUUAAGGAUCCCUGUUAUGGAUUAUAAGUUUAAGUUACUUUAGGGAUAACAGCGUUAUUUUUUUUGAGAGUACACAUCGAAAAAAGAGUUUGCGACCUCGAUGUUGAAUUAAAAUUUCUUUAUAGAAGUAGAAACUAUAAAAGUUGGUCUGUUCGACCUUUAAAAUUUUACAUGAUUUGAGUUCAAACCGGCGUGAG
rnacentral:rRNA from 1 species